UACGUAGGAGGCAAGCGUUAUCCGGAAUUAUUGGGCGUAAAGCGUCCGCAGGUGGCACCUCAAGUCUGCUGUCAAAGACCGGGGCUUAACCCCAGAAAGGCAGUGGAAACUGAAGUGCUAGAGUGCAGUAGGGGUAGAGGGAAUUCCCGGUGUAGCGGUGAAAUGCGUAGAGAUCGGGAAGAACAUCGGUGGCGAAAGCGCUCUGCUGGACUGCAACUGACACUCAGGGACGAAAGCUAGGGGAGCGAAUGGG
rnacentral:rRNA from 1 species